rnacentral:rRNA from 1 species
AAAUGAAUAGACGGGGGCCCGCACAAGCAGCGGAGCAUGUGGUUUAAUUCGACGCAACGCGAAGAACCUUACCUGGGCUUGACAUGUUCUUGAUCGGCGUGGAAACACGUCUUCCUUUACGGGCAAGAUCACAGGUGGUGCAUGGCUGUCGUCAGCUCGUGUCGUGAGAUGUUGGGUUAAGUCCCGCAACGAGCGCAACCCCCGUCGUAUGUUGCCAGCAUUUAGUUGGGGACUCAUGCGAGACUGCCGGUGGCAAACCGGAGGAAGGUGGGGAUGACGUCAAGUCAUCAUGCCCCUUAUGUCCAGGGCUACACACGUGCUACAUUGGCGUAUACAGAGGGUUGCGAUACCGCGAGGUGGAGCGAAUCUCAGAAAGUACGUCUCGGUUCGGAUUGUAGGCUGAAACUCGCCUACAUGAAGGUGGAGUUGCUAGUAAUCGCGGAUCAGCAAUGCCGCGGUGAAUACGUUCCCGGGCCUUGUACACACCGCCCGU